GAUGAACGCUGGCGGCGUGCCUAAUACAUGCAAGUCGAGCGAACGGACGAGAAGCUUGCUUCUCUGAUGUUAGCGGCGGACGGGUGAGUAACACGUGGAUAACCUACCUAUAAGACUGGGAUAACUUCGGGAAACCGUAGCUAAUACCGGAUAAUAUUUUGAACCGCAUGGUUCAAAAGUGAAAGACGGUCUUGCUGUCACUUAUAGAUGGAUCCGCGCUGCAUUAGCUAGUUGGUAAGGUAACGGCUUACCAAGGCAACGAUGCAUAGCCGACCUGAGAGGGUGAUCGGCCACACUGGAACUGAGACACGGUCCAGACGCCUACGGGAGGCAGCAGUAGGGAAUCUUCCGCAAUGGGCGAAAGCCUGACGGAGCAACGCCGCGUGAGUGAUGAAGGUCUUCGGAUCGUAAAACUCUGUUAUUAGGGAAGAACAUAUGUGUAAGUAACUGUGCACAUCUUGACGGUACCUAAUCAGAAAGCCCCGGCUAACUACGUG
rnacentral:rRNA from 1 species